rnacentral:rRNA from 1 species
AUUGAACGCUGGCGGCAGGCUUAACACAUGCAAGUCGAGCGGAGAUGAGGUGCUUGCACCUUAUCUUAGCGGCGGACGGGUGAGUAAUGCUUGGGAAUCUGCCUAUUAGUGGGGGACAACAUUCCGAAAGGAAUGCUAAUACCGCAUACGCCCUACGGGGGAAAGCAGGGGAUCUUCGGACCUUGCGCUAAUAGAUGAGCCUAAGUCGGAUUAGCUAGUUGGUGGGGUGAAGGCCUACCAAGGCGACGAUCUGUAGCGGGUCUGAGAGGAUGAUCCGCCACACUGGGACUGAGACACGGCCCAGACUCCUACGGGAGGCAGCAGUGGGGAAUAUUGGACAAUGGGCGGAAGCCUGAUCCAGCCAUGCCGCGUGUGUGAAGAAGGCCUUUUGGUUGUAAAGCACUUUAAGCGAGGAGGAGGCUACCUGGAUUAAUACUCUAGGAUAGUGGACGUUACUCGCAGAAUAAGCACCGGCUAACUCUGUGCCAGCCGCCGCCGUAAAAC